GAUGAACGUUGGCGGCGUGCCUAAUACAUGCAAGUCGAACGAAGACUGUAGUAAUACUGUCUUAGUGGCGAACGGGUGAGUAACGCGUGGGUGACCUGCCCCGAAGUGUGGGAUAACAGUUCGAAAGAACUGCUAAUACCGCAUAAUAUCCAAGAGAUUAGACGCUUUUGGAUUAAAGGAGAAAUUCGCUUCGGGAGGGGCCCGCGUCCCAUCAGCUAGUUGGUAAGGUAAUGGCUUACCAAGGCGAUGACGGGUAGGGGACCUGAGAGGGUGGCCCCCCACAAUGGAACUGAAACACGGUCCAUACACCUACGGGUGGCAGCAGUAGGGAAUAUUAGUAAUGGGCGAAAGCCUGAACUAGCAACGCCGCGUGUGCGAAGAAGGCCUUCGGGUUGUAAAGCACUUUUUGAGAGGAUGAGGAAGACGGUACUCUCAGAAUAAGUCUCGGCUAACUACGUG
rnacentral:rRNA from 1 species